GGGCGAGUGAUGAAAUGGCAGACAUUCCAGAAUUAGAGUCUGGUGCUCGAAAGAGCGUGAGGGUUCGAAUCCCUCCUCGCCCA
rnacentral:tRNA from 1 species